UGGGGAAUAUUGGACAAUGGGGGAAACCCUGAUCCAGCGAUGCCGCGUGAAUGAAGAAGGCCUUAGGGUUGUAAAGUUCUUUCACCUGUGACGAUGAUGACGGUAACAGGAGAAGAAGCCCCGGCUAACUCCGUGCCAGCAGCCGCGGUAAGACGGAGGGGGCUAGCGUUGUUCGGAAUGACUGGGCGUAAAGGGCGCGUAGGCGGCUUAUCAAGUCAGGUGUGAAAGCCUUGGGCUUAACCCAAGAACUGCGCUUGAUACUGAUAGGCUUGAGGAUGAUAGAGGAAAGCGGAAUUCCUAGUGUAGAGGUGAAAUUCGUAGAUAUUAGGAAGAACACCAGAGGCGAAGGCGGCUUUCUGGAUCAUAUCUGACGCUGAGGCGCGAAAGCGUGGGGAGCAAA
rnacentral:rRNA from 1 species